AAGUCGUAACAAGGUUUCCUUCCGGUUAAGAGAUUUAACUACCGAAGCCUCACACAGCGACUCUAAAUCAACUAUGGAGUCUUACCAUAGGUAAAGACAAUACCGCUGAAAUGCUGUGAUCACGAAAGUGUACCAGCAGCCUAAUCCAGGCCCACAGAUCAAGUGGCGGUGGUCUUAGCUACACAGCUGUAGACGUAAUAUGACCGGUUCUUUAUCCUAACGGGUUAAGAGCUUUAACGUUUCCGUAGGUGAACCUGCGGGAAGGAUCAUUAAAGAGUUAGGGUCUUUUUAGGCUCGAUCUCCAACCCUUUGUGUAAAUACCAUGUUGCUUUUGGCGGGGCCCCGUCUUUAACCGGACCGUCGGAGGUCAAAGCCUCUGGCCAGCGCCCCGUCAGUAGCCCCACAACAAAUUUCUUUUUAACCAUGUAUCUUUCUGAAAAUAGUUAAAUAAACUAAA
rnacentral:misc_RNA from 1 species